AAAAAAAAAAAGCCUGGUGUGAGUCCGUCCUGGGCGGCUGUUCUUUUGAGCAGUUGUCGUUUAUCUCCGUCCGCCUUCUCUUCCACCUAAGUGCGUGUCGCCACCCGAUGGAAGAUUCGAUGGACAUGGACAUGAGCCCCCUGAGGCCCCAGAACUAUCAUUUCGGUUGUGAACUAAAGGCCGACAAAGAUUAUCACUUUAAGGUGGAUAAUGAUGAAAAUGAACACCAGUUAUCUUUAAGAACGGUCAGUUUAGGAGCUGGUGCAAAGGAUGAGUUGCACAUUGUUGAAGCAGAGGCAAUGAAUUACGAAGGCAGUCCAAUUAAAGUAACACUGGCAACUUUGAAAAUGUCUGUACAGCCAACAGUUUCCCUUGGGGGCUUUGAAAUAACACCACCAGUGGUCUUACGAUUGAAGUGUGGUUCAGGGCCAGUGCAUAUCAGUGGACAGCACUUAGUAGCUGUGGAGGAAGAUGCAGAGUCAGAAGAUGAGGAGGAGGAGGAUGUGAAACUCUUAAGUAUGUCUGGAAAGCGGUCUGCCCCUGGAGGUGGUAGCAAGGUUCCACAGAAAAAAGUAAAACUUGCUGCCGAUGAAGAUGAUGAAGAUGAUGAUGAUUAUUAUUAUUAUUUCGAUGAUAAGGAAACUGAAGAAAAAGUGCUAGUGAAGAAAUCUAUACACGAUACUCCAGCCAAAAAUGCACAAAAGUCAAAUCAGAAUGGAAAAGACUCAAAACCAUCAUCAACACCAAGAUCAAAAGGACAAGAAUCCUUCAAAAAGCAGGAAAAAACUCCUAAAACACCAAAAGGACCUAGUUCUGUAGAAGACAUUAAAGCAAAAAUGCAAGCAAGUAUAGAAAAAGAGCAUUGAACAGUCCUGGGCACUACUGGUAAAUUAAGCCCAAAGAUGGGGAGAAAGGAAAAGGAGAGACAAAUAUAGUCCAUACUGAGUGUCAUCAACAACCCACACUGAAGUCUUCUAUUUAAUCUCAAUCCCCUUUUCUGAUUUGCCACCCAUGCCUCUUCAGGCUGGAAACAGUUUCACACUCUUGGUUCCCUAAAGCACUUUGUUCUGACUGCUGCAAUUCAGUGAACCUUGCCUUUUGCUUUCUAUUACUUGUGUGCAUUUGCCUCAUCUCUGACCAUGUUUUAAAUCCUUUGUAUCUCCUUAGCUGCUCAAUAAAUAUUUUAAUGAAUCAA